rnacentral:tRNA from 1 species
UGCCGAAGUGGUGGAAUUGGUAGACACGUACGUUUGAGGGGCGUAUGGGGCAACCCGUGGGGGUUCGAGUCCCCCUUCGGCAU